ensembl:misc_RNA Metazoa_SRP Metazoan signal recognition particle RNA
GCCAGGCACAGUGGCGUAUGCCUGUAAUCCCAGUAGUUUAGGAGGCUGAGGCAGGAGGAUUGCUUGAGCCCAGGAGUUUUUGACCAGCCUGGGCAACAUAGUGAGACCCCACCUCUA